rnacentral:rRNA from 1 species
GACGAACGCUGGCGGCGUGCUUAACACAUGCAAGUCGAGCGGAAAGGCCCUUCGGGGUACUCGAGCGGCGAACGGGUGAGUAACACGUGAGUAGCCUGCCCUGGACUUUGGGAUAACCCUCGGAAACGGGGGCUAAUACCGAAUACGACACUCUACCGCAUGGUGUGGGUGUGGAAAGUUUUUUCGGUUUGGGAUGGACUCGCGGCCUAUCAGCUUGUUGGUGGGGUAAUGGCCUACCAAGGCGACGACGGGUAGCCGGCCUGAGAGGGCGACCGGCCUCACUGGGACUGAGACACGGCCUAGACUCCUACGGGAGGCAGCAGUGGGGAAUAUUGCACAAUGGGCGGAAGCCUGAUGCAGCGACGCCGCGUGAGGGAUGACGGCCUUCGGGUUGUAAACCUCUUUCAGCAGGGACGAAGCGCGAGUGACGGUACCUGCAGAAGAAGCGCCGGCCAACUUCGUGCCAGCCGCCGCCGUAACAC